rnacentral:rRNA from 1 species
UACAGAGGUGGCAAGCGUUGUUCGGAAUUACUGGGCGUAAAGGGCGCGUAGGCGGGUGCUCAAGUCUGUGGUGAAAUCCUCCAGCUCAACUGGAGAACUGCCAUGGAUACUGGGUGCCUCGAGGGUGGUAGGGGUAUGCGGAACUAUCGGUGGAGCGGUGAAAUGCGUUGAUAUCGAUAGGAACUCCGGUGGCGAAGGCGGCAUACUGGACCACAUCUGACGCUGAGGCGCGAAAGCCAGGGGAGCAAACGGG